ensembl:ncRNA T11F9.26 ncRNA
UUUUCCGAAGUCCUUUGCUUUCACUCUUCGUCCCAUCUUAGACAAUUUCAAACAUUCAAUUCGGACGUAAAACUCAAUUUGGACAUAUUCUUCCAAGAUCAAAAUUUUGGUCGAAUGGAGAAAAGCAUCAAGUGCCUCAGCUCUUUGACCUUUUUCGCCAAAAAAUCUCGAAUUUCAUUUUGAAUCAUAUCAAUGUCGAGUUGUUAAAAUGUCAC